ACGUAGGGGGCAAGCGUUAUCCGGAUUUACUGGGUGUAAAGGGAGCGUAGACGGCACGACAAGCCAGAUGUGAAAGCCCGGGGCUCAACCCCGGGACUGCAUUUGGAACUGCUGAGCUAGAGUGUCGGAGAGGCAAGUGGAAUUCCUAGUGUAGCGGUGAAAUGCGUAGAUAUUAGGAGGAACACCAGUGGCGAAGGCGGCUUGCUGGACGAUGACUGACGUUGAGGCUCGAAAGCGUGGGGAGCAAACAG
rnacentral:rRNA from 1 species